GAGGUCCCGCCUGCCCAGUGAAACUUUUCAACGGCCGCGGUAUUCUAACCGUGCAAAGGUAGCGUAAUCACUUGUCUUCUAAAUAAAGACCUGUAUGAAUGGCUAAAUGAGGACAGCCCUGUCUCCUUUGGUUAAUCAGUGAAACUGAUCUUUCAGUACAAAAGCUGAAAUUAAAACAUAAGACGAGAAGACCCUGUGGAGCUUAAAAUCCCCUGUUAACGAACGCACACAAGACUAACACCCGAUUUUGAGUUGGGGCGACUUCGGAACAAAACAAGACUUCCGAGCACAGAACCACUAGUUCUAACCGAGGCCAACAAGCCAAAGAGCCAACUGACCCAGUCAUACUGAUCAACGAACCAAGUUACCCCAGGGAUAACAGCGCCAUCUUCUUCAAGAGUCCCUAUCGACAAGAAGGUUUACGACCUCGAUGUUGGAUCAGGACACCCAAAUGGUGCAGCCGCUAUUAAAGGUUCGUUUGUUCAACGAUUAACAGUCCUACGUGAUCUGAGU
rnacentral:rRNA from 1 species